AUUGAACGCUGGCGGCAGGCCUAACACAUGCCAGUCGAGCGGAUGAAGGGAGCUUGCUCCUGGAUUCAGCGGCGGACGGGUGAGUAAUGCCUAGGAAUCUGCCUGGUAGUGGGGGAUAACGUCCGGAAACGGGCGCUAGUACCGCAUACGUCCUGAGGGAGAAAGUGGGGGAUCUUCGGACCUCACGCUAUCAGAUGAGCCUAGGUCGGAUUAGCUAGUUGGUGGGGUAAAGGCCUACCAAGGCGACGAUCCGUAACUGGUCUGAGAGGAUGAUCAGUCACACUGGAACUGAGACACGGUCCAGACUCCUACGGGAGGCAGCAGUGGGGAAUAUUGGACAAUGGGCGAAAGCCUGAUCCAGCCAUGCCGCGUGUGUGAAGAAGGUCUUCGGAUUGUAAAGCACUUUAAGUUGGGAGGAAGGGCAGUAAGUUAAUACCUUGCUGUUUUGACGUUACCAACAGAAUAAGCACCGGCUAACUUCGUG
rnacentral:rRNA from 1 species